GGGAGUCUGUUAUUAACCAACUAACUUUUUUUGUUAGUUGUUAUUCUAACAAGAUGUGAUUCUACACCAUCAUUCUACACCAUUCUACACCAUCAUUCUACACCAUUCUGGAUAAAUUAUUCUACACCACUCCUCAUAACCCUAAAAUAUUUCAACGAUAUGAGGGUUACCCCCAACGAUAUGAGGCAACUUAGAUAAUUCGUUCCUAAAUAUUUAGAACAAUCAGUCUUUCUAUUCUCAGGAAUAUAGAAGCAACCUAAUUCAGCUAACUCUUCCUCAAUCUCUUAAGACUGAUUUUUUUUUUUAACCUUUUUUAUACCAUCUUUCUUUUUUCCGGAUGGCUGUUGCUCUUCAUUUUCUUCAACAUCUUUAAAAUUCAACAAUCCCAUCAUUCCAUAAUCUUCAGUCGGAUUAAAUAAAAAAUUAAAAUUCGGAGGAGUUUUCAGCAAAUUUCUGAUAUUUGAACAGAAUCAUAGAGCUUUUUUCGAAAAGUCUGUUAAUUCAAUCUCAUUCAAAAGAUUGUAGAAAACUUCUGUUGUUCGCAAUCCAAUAAUGUCAUUCAAACAUUUCGAUUCAAGUGUGACUGCAUAAGCCUUCAACAAGUCCGUACAGUUUUUAAAAUAUUCAUUCCGUUGCUCAUGAUCCGUGUAGUCAUUGUCGCUAAUCAGGUACUUGUAGUAAGGUUCUUGGUUAUUUUUCUUGUUGAUAAUAGACGACGAUUCUUUAAUUAUAGUUGCAGCUUCGCCUACAUAGAAAUUCUUCACAAACUGUAAAUACCAGGUUAGGGUUAAGGUUUAGGGUUGGGAUUAGGGUUAGGGUUUAAGGUUGAGGAUCGCCGGCGGUGAUGAUAAUGGUUGGUAGGAUUUUAGUGCAGCUUGUGUUAACUUUAUUAAUGCUUCAAAUGAUUUUUUUCUGCAAUUUAAUUUCGACAAUCAUUUUCAUCAAUUUUGAGGUUAUCUUUGUCGUUUCCUUCAUCUUUGCAUCCACGUCGUUCUUCAUCAGUUUUGGUAUGUUGUCUAACAAAUAUUGUAUAUCUCUUUUGAAAAAUAUCGAUUCCUUUGAGAUCGAAGUCCAGCAAAUCAUUCACCGACAAAUGUCUGUAGUACGUCGUUAUGAACUUCUGAAAGUCCGUAGAUAGAAAUAAUUAAAAUAAGGCUUCAAGAUCGAUAAUGUCACUACAGAAAUUAAAAUGGUCUUCAUAUUGGCGGAAUUUCCGCCAAUAUAAAGAUAGUUUCAAUAAAAGGUUUACCUGAUCAUCGACAUUAUCAUCAUCCAUUUUUUCUUCCAAUGUUUGAAUGAUAUAUAAAAGCAAAUCGAUGCAAUUAUUGUAAUAUUUUCCCAAUAUUUCAGGGUAUGUGAUAUCUUCUUGAAUCGAUAAGAAUUUACAGUACGGAGGGGAGGGUUCAUGGGUCCUACGAGAACGGUAAUAACUCAAUUUGUUAGUCAUAUUUUGGAUUUUGACGACCGAAAGAUUUUUUUUACAUUGCAAAAUUCUUACACACAAGUUGAUCAUAUAGUCCUUCGAUCAUACGAAAAACCCGGUAUGCUACUCUUGCUGAAGCUAAAGCAAGAUCCAAAACCUUAUCUUUAUCAUCCUCUUCUUUAAUUCUUACAACAUAUUGGAAGCACACCUCACUAAAGAACCUUUGCAUAAAUCCACAGGAAGAGUAUUCAUUUUUUUUAUCAAAACUGCCAUGCUUUUGGUUUCAACUUUGAACAUUUGGCAAGCAUCGACUUCGAAUAAUGACGAGGAGAACACGUCGGCGAAAUACUCAUCUGGAAAGGGUAAUGAAUCGAUCCUUCUGUAACACUCGUUAAUCAAUUUCCCCAAACACAUCUUCACAUACUCCACUGCAGCUUCCCCAGAUUCAACCAUUGUUGCUUCCUCAUCAAGAACUUGCUUGUACAAAUCCCAACAAGGUUCCAUUGGCCGGGUUGGCCAUUCCUAUUGUGCUCUCAAAAAUCCAGAUAGCUAGAGAAUUUUCAAGUACAUCUUGUUUGUCUAUCUUGCUAUUGUAAUAGAGUGAUUCGGCGAAGUAACGGUACUCCAAAGAUUGUGGAUAUAUGUGUAUUGCCCAGGUUGCAUGUUUAACUGCCUGGUUGUAGUCGGAUCGUUCUUUAUGAUAAGCAUUAAUUGCAUGUAGACGGUGGAGAAUAUGACAUCCCUCAUGAUCGACGAUUGCUUUGCGUGAGAGUUUUAGGGCUUUAGCUGCUCCAUAUUUCAUAUACCUUUCUACAAUCCUAUUAACCAGAUUGAUAGUUUCUUUCUCCAUGGAUGGAUGGAUGGAUGGCUUCCUCUAAUCCGUCCUUCUAUUAUCUAUGUACAAUACCUAACUAAUUCUAUUCAACUAAUUCUAUAACUAAUAAUCAAGGAAACAACUAAUUUCUACAUCUUUCUUGCAAUUAUGGAGAUAAAUCUAUUUUGAAAAACUCCAUGAUUGCUUGAAUCGAAAUUCCAACAAUAUUAUUUCUUUCAACACAAAUAAUCAUACAAUCCUCUGAUUUUGGUUCACGGAUUUUAUUUCAGACAAAUCUUUAGGAUAGUACUAACAAAAAUAAAACAAAUAAAUAAAUUUCAACAUAUGAAAUAUCAAACCACUAACCUCUAUAAUGGGAGCUGCUGAUUUGGGGAAAAAGAGGAAAAAAAUUUCAUUUGGGGGAGAGAAUAGGAGAUUUAUGGAUUUAAUACACUAGAUUUUAUAUUUUUAGGGAUUGUAAAUAAAUGUAUUUAUUUGUUUAAAGGUGUAAUUAUAAUAAUCUCCUAUAUUUUGAUAUAAUUAUUAUUUUAUAAGUUUUUGUAAUAUUUAUAUAGAGAAAAUAUCAAAUGAAGCUUAACCUCAAUGAGGUCGUAUUCAACCAUUACCACCUGACGGUGAGUCAUCGAUCACCAGCAAAAAUUUCGACAUUUAGAAAAAUUAAUAUCCCCAUGCCUCUCCAUGGAUAUUUACUUUUUCAUGCAAAUCCCCAUGGAGGAAUGCAUUGUUUACAUCAAUUUGGUAAAGAUUCUAUCUUUUAUGUGCAGCUGCAUUGCAAUUAGUAUCCUUACUAUUGUUAUUUUUGCAACAAGUGCAAAUGUUUCAUAAAAAUUAAAACCUUCCUUUUGAGAGAAUUCUUUUGGCUACUAACCUGACUUUGUAUCUCUCAAUUUCUCAGGUCAUGGGGCUUGUAUUUUAUAUUAUAUAUCUAUUUUGAACCUACUGAUUUCAAUUUCUUCCUUUGGGAAGCUCAGUUAUUGUCCAAGUUUUGUUUGAAAUGAUAAAGCGAUCAACAUUCCUACACUCCAAAUCCAAUCAUCAUUUAAAGAAGAACUAAUCAAAGAUCAAACCAUCGAAGAACAACCAUUAGAGAUUCUAUUCAAUAACGUCAUCCGAAGAAGCAACUGUCAGAAGGAUUCAAAUCAACAAAACGACUACAUAUAUUAUUAGAGAAAUAUAUCUCUAAUUAUCUUUAUAUCUCUAAUUAUCUCUAAUUAGUUCUUAUUUAUUUAUCUCAUGUAUACGAAAAAUGAUUUUUUUAGUUUUUCCCGCCUUUUCUUAAACCUGUACUAUUAUAAAUAGACAGGGUUGUAAACCAAAGAGAUUCACUUAAUGAAAAGUUUAGUGUUUCAAAGUGAA
rnacentral:lncRNA from 1 species